CUCUUCAAGUUGGAAGGAAGAUAGUGAUAGCUCAACUUUAAUACCGGAAGAAUGUCACUCUUACCUGAUAAAUUCCACAAUUUGUUGUUCAAUAUUUCUUCCCAUUCGUUUAUUUCAUUCUGACGUAAAAGCCCACCAAGAGUUCUUGCAGCUAAGGGCAAUCCACUGCAUUUUUCAGCAAUUUUUUUCUGAAGCAACUCAAAAUUUGGUGGUCUAUCAUUGUUCACAAAUGCAUGCUGCUCAAAUAUUUCCAAACAAUUAUCAUCUGACACAGACUCCAAGUUAUGAACUUCGGUGGCUCCCAUAAUCUUUGCAACUUUUAGGUCUCGUGUUGUCACAAUUAUCUUACUUCCUUGUGCUCCAACACUAAAAGGGGACUGAAGUCUUGUCCACAGAUCAUAUAAAUCACCUUUGUUCCAAAUAUCAUCUAAAACAAUUAAAAACUUUUUACCUCUUAACUGCUCAUUCAAAUCAUGCUGCAUUUUACUGAACUCCUCUACUUUAACGGGUUGAGAUGUGACUGAUUCAAGAAUUGCCUUCGUCACUCUUACAAUGUCGAAGUCAUCGGACACACACACCCACACCCUCGGCUCGAACUCCUUCAUGACAUCACUGUUGUUGAAUGCAAAUUGAGCAAGUGUAGUCUUCCCAAGGCCAGCCAUGCCAACAAUGGCAACAACAUGAAAGUUGACAUUAUUAUGCUCAUCUCUCGACAACAUGUCUAAUAUUUUUGCUUUAUCUCCAUCUCUUCCAACAAUGGUUAGUCCACCUAGCACACCUGAAGUUGGUGGCCUUGACCAUGCUUUACUAGACGUUCCGGUGCCCUUUAAACCAAACUUAUCUUUCCGUUCAGAGAUCUCUUGCAACCGCUCUGUAAUCUUCUUUAUUUCAGAGUUCAUAUCGAAAUUGAGUUUCAGUUUAGAGAAUGAACUCCGCACCUUUUUACUUGUGCUGGCUUGAUCACGCCCCUCUAUCUGGCGCUUCAAUAUUUUAGUAGCAAAUUUGUCCAGCACGUCUUCUACAUCAUAAGCCAAGUCUCUGAGGUCAUCCAGCCACAAUUUCACACCAUGCUCUGUCAGUUGCUUCUCCCCCGCAUCAUUCAGCACCGCUACGAUUGCAGACAAAUUGUCACUCCAUUUAUUCAGCUUUUUGUCGACGCCCUUUACGAGACCAAAGUAGUUGAGGAUCUCGCGAGGCGCCAACCUGUCGAGCAGCAACUGAAGGAACGCCCCAAGAAAAAUCUCUCCCAC
rnacentral:lncRNA from 1 species